ACAGACUGGGAAGUAAUCCUAUAUAUAUUGGUUGUUCACCCUGUACUUAAAACCUUAAAGGUUCUCCUCAGCUCACUGACUUUUGUCACACAAUCAAAGAAAAAUGCCAGAAGAAGUUCCUGCUCAGUGCAAGGUUCCCAAAGAUGAGCUGGACAAGUGUGUUCAGGGGAAAGGAGCAGAGGGCUGUAAAGAGCUGCUGGAAGCCUUUGAGGCCUGUGUAAAGGGGGCCACAGCGGCCUCAUGAGGGGGACAUGAUUUUACAUGUCCUUCCUUUCUGGGUCCUCCAGUGUCCUUGCAUUCCCUCACAUUGUACUGGACUGAACCAUUUUAAGGACAGUGAAAGGGGUGCAAGUCCUGGAAAGCAGUGGAAUUGUUUAUUUUGAUCCCGAGAAGUCGGUGUCCCUCAUGUUGUCCAUGUUAUUUGUAACAGUGAAAGAAAGAAGAACCCAGUUUUGUUAGGUUUUUUUUCUUCAGAAUGUACGCUGUGAAAGAGCACAAUGCAUUUCAUCUGAUUUUGAAUAAAUUACUAUAAUUGUUUACUUUUUUUGCCAUUACCAUACACACACACAUUGAAUCCAAGAGAUUUUAACACAUCAAUGACCAUGACCAUUCAGAGGUCUAGCCUACAGAACUGUGAUCACUAAAUAACUGACACUAAAUGUCAUCAUAAUAAUUAACUGUAUGCAGUGAUUGAUUUACCUUUAACUGCAGUGGUCUGCAUACUUGAUAACUCCUGCCAAGAACACUGGCAGUGCUGCUCAUUUGGUUUUUGUGUGCCCUGUAGACACAACAACUGACUGUCAUCACCAUCUAUUGAAGAAAUUCUAAAGGUGUUGACAAAACCAUUUUCAUAUUUUCAUCACAUAUUAAUCAUACUGUUGCCAUGUAGUUGUUAUGGUAUUGCUAGCUAGGACCCAUGUAAAAUUAGAAAAAAAUUCACACACAAAAAAAAGCAAUUUGUAUGAUUGGGUUGACACAUCAUGGUUGUGACAGAAAAUAUGUGCACAAUGAUGUAUAAUAAUAAAAAUAAUAAUAAAUUCAA